rnacentral:tRNA from 1 species
GGAGAGGUGCGAGAGUUGGUUGAAUCGGAUCGCCUGCUAAGCGAUUGAUCUGGGUUAUACCGGAUCCCCGGGUUCGAAUCCCGGCCUCUCCGCCA